rnacentral:rRNA from 1 species
UACGUAGGGUGCAAGCGUUGUCCGGAAUUAUUGGGCGUAAAGAGCUCGUAGGCGGUUUGUCGCGUCUGGUGUGAAAAUCCAGGGCUUAACCCUGGACCUGCAUCGGGUACGGGCAGACUAGAGUGCGGUAGGGGAGAUCGGAAUUUCUGGUGUAGCGGUGAAAUGCGCAGAUAUCAGGAGGAACACCGGUGGCGAAGGCGGAUCUCUGGGCCGUAACUGACGCUGAGGAGCGAAAGCCAGGGGAGCAAACGGG